AGAGUUUGAUCCUGGCUCAGAUUGAACGCUGGCGGCAGGCCUAACACAUGCAAGUCGAGCGGAUGAAGAGAGCUUGCUCUCUGAUUCAGCGGCGGACGGGUGAGUAAUGCCUAGGAAUCUGCCUGGUAGUGGGGGACAACGUUUCGAAAGGAACGCUAAUACCGCAUACGUCCUACGGGAGAAAGCAGGGGACCUUCGGGCCUUGCGCUAUCAGAUGAGCCUAGGUCGGAUUAGCUAGUUGGUGAGGUAAUGGCUCACCAAGGCGACGAUCCGUAACUGGUCUGAGAGGAUGAUCAGUCACACUGGAACUGAGACACGGUCCAGACUCCUACGGGAGGCAGCAGUGGGGAAUAUUGGACAAUGGGCGAAAGCCUGAUCCAGCCAUGCCGCGUGUGUGAAGAAGGUCUUCGGAUUGUAAAGCACUUUAAGUUGGGAGGAAGGGCAUUAACCUAAUACGUUAGUGUUUUGACGUUACCGACAGAWUAAGCACCGGCUAACUCUGUGCCAGCAGCCGCGGUAAUACAGAGGGUGCAAGCGUUAAUCGGAGUUACUGGGCGUAAAGCGCGCGUAGGUGGUUCGUUAAGUUGAAUGUGAAAUCCCCGGGCUCAACCUGGGAACUGCAUCCAAAACUGGCGAGCUAGAGUAUGGUAGAGGGUGGUGGAAUUUCCUGUGUAGCGGUGAAAUGCGUAGAUAUAGGAAGGAACACCAGUGGCGAAGGCGACCACCUGGACUGAUACUGACACUGAGGCACGAAAGCGUGGGGAGCAAACAGGAUUAGAUACCCUGGUAGUCCACGCCCUAAACGAUGCGAACUGGAUGUUGGGUGCAAUUUGGCACGCAGUAUCGAAGCUAACGCGUUAAGUUC
rnacentral:rRNA from 1 species